GUUAUGUUAAGCUGCUCCAUGAAGCCGCUGUGUGCAAGGCCCUGGCCCUAGUGCCAUGGAUUGGAGGGAAAGACAUUCAGACAGGGUUUUUAUGGGUGGCACAUGUUUUCUUCCCCUGGUAUCUGGGGGCUUUUGUGGGGACCGUCCUCUGUGGCCCUGCCUUGUAGCUGGCCACAUGGUGAGCAGGGGUUUGCUCGAUCCUCUUUCAUGGGUGCUAUUAUAUGCAUUUAUCUCUGCAGAGCAGGCCCCUCCUGGGUCUCUGGUCCGGCAGCCCACUGACUGGCCCUUGCAGCCCCACCUAAAUACCUGCUGAUGGGCUGUGGAUUGAUCGGGCCUCAGUUGUGAGGGUGUGGAGGGACUUGCUAAGCUGCUCCUGACAACUGCGGGGCUCGUUCCCUCUCUAGGCGCAGGCUGAAGUCACCGGCUCAUAACACACCGCCCCACCCACCGGGAGAAGAGAGAGAGGCAAUCAUGUCAGAGCCUGAGAUGUGAAAACUGCUUGUUUGCCACCCCACUUCCCCCCUGCUGCCCUUUCCUCUGGCCUCGCUGGAUGUGACAUUGGCUUUCAUGGAAGGCAAGGCUACUCCAGUCGUCCACCUGCCUCACAGGAUGAUGACGAUUAUUCCCAAAGGCGGCAAAUGUCAGAAAAGUUCCCCCUGAGGAAGGAGGAGAGGAUUAUAUUUUAAGGAAAUGUUUGUUGGCUUUGGCUGUUGUUAAAAUCUGGCUUGAACAUACACCCGAGUUUCCUGUGGGUAAAAGGUGUGGUGGUAGCUGAGGUGCCCUUGAGUUUGGGGCUGACACGUGGGCAGACAGAAAGCAGCCCCGUCCCUUCCUAGUGGUGGAUGCUGCAUAUAUCCUGGGCUUCAGGGUAGAACUGAUGACUCAACCCAAACAACGUUGUUAACCCUUGCUUAUUCACUACUUACCAAAUCUCUGUGGAGUACCCAUGAUGCCUCAGGCCCUGGGAGAGCUGCGGAGAUGAAAGGACCACUCGCUGCCUUCUUGACUUGUAAAGACUCCUGACCCCUGGCCCAGAUGCCCUGAUCAACUGAUUGUCCUCUGCCUCCUGGAACACCAUGUACCCUCUCUCUAGGCCGCCGUGUUCUAGGAGGAACCGAAAGAAAAUAUAUUCACGCACAUACACACAUCACCACCAUGACUCAAGAAGAAAACCUGGAAGAAGAUGACAGAACCUUGCUUGUGCAUAGAGGUGCUCUGAAUCACAUCACCAUGACUCAGUUUCCCCAGUUACCUGAGCUGAGGGGCCCCAGGUGGCAGUCCUAGCUUGGGGAGUGUUGGUUCAUCCAUCAAAGUGGAACUUAAGGGGCAACAGGCCAGGUACAAGCCCUCUGAGAAAAUCAAAGAACGUGACUGAUUGCUUGGCAUGACCUUCCUUCUCCCUCGCCCGGCUGGAGGGAGAGGCAAGAUGAUGUUAUGUCUCUAAUCCCAUUUGCAGUCCUCUUUC
rnacentral:lncRNA from 10 species